CGACAGGCUAACACAUGCAGUCGAGGGGCAGCACGGGAGUAGCAAUACAACUGGUGGCGACCGGCGCACGGGUGAGUAACGCGUAUGCAACCUACCUAUCAGAGGGGAAUAACCCGGCGAAAGUCGGACUAAUACCGCAUAAAACAGGGGCACCGCAUGGUGAUAUUUGUUAAAGAAAUUCGCUGAUAGAUGGGCAUGCGUUCCAUUAGGUAGUUGGUGAGGUAACGGCUCACCAAGCCGACGAUGGAUAGGGAACUGAGAGGUUGGUCCCCCACACUGGUACUGAGACACGGACCAGACUCCUACGGGAGGCAGCAGUGAGGAAUAUUGGUCAAUGGGCGGGAGCCUGAACCAGCCAAGUCGCGUGAAGGAAGAAGGAUCUAUGGUUCGUAAACUUCUUUUGCAGGGGAAUAAAGUGCAGGACGUGUCCUGUUUUGUAUGUACCCUGAGAAUAAGGAUCGGCUAACUCCGUGCCAGCCGCGGC
rnacentral:rRNA from 1 species